rnacentral:rRNA from 1 species
GGGACACGUGGUAUCCUGUCUGAAUAUGGGGGGACCAUCCUCCAAGGCUAAAUACUCCUGACUGACCGAUAGUGAACCAGUACCGUGAGGGAAAGGCGAAAAGAACCCCGGCGAGGGGAGUGAAAAAGAACCUGAAACCGUGUACGUACAAGCAGUGGGAGCCUCUUAAUGGGGUGACUGCGUACCUUUUGUAUAAUGGGUCAGCGACUUAUAUUCUGUAGCAAGGUUAACCGAAUAGGGGAGCCGAAGGGAAACCGAGUCUUAACUGGGCGUUAAGUUGCAGGGUAUAGACCCGAAACCCGGUGAUCUAGCCAUGGGCAGGUUGAAGGUUGGGUAACACUAACUGGAGGACCGAACCGACUAAUGUUGAAAAAUUAGCGGAUGACUUGUGGCUGGGGGUGAAAGGCCAAUCAAACCGGGAGAUAGCUGGUUCUCCCCGAAAGCUAUUUAGGUAGCGCCUCGUGAAUUCAUCUCCGGGGGUAGAGCACUGUUUCGGCAAGGGGGUCAUCCCGACUUACCAACCCGAUGCAAACUGCGAAUACCGGAGAAUGUUAUCACGGGAGACACACGGCGGGUGCUAACGUCCGUCGUGAAGAGGGAAACAAC